UACAGAGGUCUCAAGCGUUGUUCGGAUUCAUUGGGCGUAAAGGGUGUGUAGGUGGCGCCGUAAGUCGGGUGUGAAAUUUCGGAGCUUAACUCCGAAACUGCAUUCGAUACUGCGGUGCUUGAGGACUGGAGAGGAGACUGGAAUUCAUGGUGUAGCAGUGAAAUGCGUAGAUAUCGAGAGGAACACCUGCGGCGAAGGCGGGUUGCUGGGCUGAUACUGACGCUGAGGCGCGAAAGCCAGGGGAGCGAACGGG
rnacentral:rRNA from 1 species